rnacentral:rRNA from 1 species
CCUACGGGAGGCAGCAGUGAGGAAUAUUGGUCAAUGGACGAGAGUCUGAACCAGCCAAGCAGCGUGAAGGAUGACUGCCCUAUGGGUUGUAAACUUCUUUUAUAUGGGAAUAAAAUGUUCCACGUGUGGGAUUUUGUAUGUCCCAUAUGAAUAAGGAUCGGCCAACUCCGUGCCAGCAGCCGCGGUAAUCCGGAGGAUCCGAGCGUUAUCCGGAUUUAUUGGGUUUAAAGGGAGCGUAGGUGGAUUGUUAAGUCAGUUGUGAAAGUUUGCGGCUCAACCGUAAAAUUGCAGUUGAAACUGGCAGUCUUGAGUACAGUAGAGGUGGGCGGAAUUCGUGGUGUAGCGGUGAAAUGCUUAGAUAUCACGAAGAACUCCGAUUGCGAAGGCAGUUCACUGGACUGCAACUGACACUGAGGCUCGAAAGUGUGGGUAUCAAACAGGAUUAGAUACCCUUGUAGUC